rnacentral:rRNA from 1 species
AGAACGAACGCUGGCGGCAGGCCUAACACAUGCAAGUCGAACGCCCCGCAAGGGGAGUGGCAGACGGGUGAGUAACGCGUGGGAACGUACCUUUCGGUUCGGAAUAACCCGGGGAAACUCGGGCUAAUACCGGAUACGUCCGCAAAGGAGAAAGAUUUAUCGCCGAAAGAUCGGCCCGCGUCGGAUUAGCUAGUUGGUGAGGUAACGGCCCACAAGGCGACGAUCCGUAGCUGGUCUGAGAGGAUGAUCAGCCACACUGGGACUGAGACACGGCCCAGACUCCUACGGGAGGCAGCAGUGGGGAAUUGUUCGCAAUGGGCGCAAGCCUGACGACGCAACGCCGCGUGGAGGAUGAAGACCUUCGGGUCGUAAACUCCUUUCGAUCGAGACGAAUGGCCUCCGGGUGAACAAUCCGGAGGAGUGACGGUACCGAGAGAAGAAGCCCGGCUAACUCCGUGCCAGCAGCCGC